GGGGGCGCACUGGUUUCGACGGGGAUUGUUGAAGUCAAGGCUGCAGGUCGAGGUUGGUCGAUGGCCUCGUAAAAAUCGACCACAAGAUAAUUGCAAACGACAAUUACGAUUACGCAAUGGCUGCUUAAUUGCAGAGUUGCUAUCUGACAACAUAGUUUGUCACGAUUCCUUUGUUGACGCCUUAUAGGCAAAACGAAUCGACAAAUCAUAGGGCUAGCAUCACCUAUUUGAUCUUUGUAUCUGAUGCGAAACACUUAAAGACCUAGUUCGAUGGCCGUCUGGCCCGGAGCAAUCCAUCGGGCGAAUGUUUAUUCCGGACCUAAACCUGUAGAAGCUUUUGCGGAUCAUUCUCGGACGGGAGUUCGAUUCUCCCCGCCUCCACCA
rnacentral:tmRNA from 1 species